GCAUAACGAUACGGGGGUCCGGGGUAGCCGGGCUGAGACUGAAGCCGAACCAUCCGCUUCUGACCGUUAAUCUGAUCUGGGUCAUGCCAGCGUAGAGAAUUCGUAACCGUCCGUGA
rnacentral:ncRNA from 1 species